rnacentral:tRNA from 1 species
CACCAGUUAGCCUAGUGGUUAAGGCAAUUAUGGAUCGCCAAUCCGGAGACGGCGGGUUCGAUUCCCGUUCCGGUCG